AGUGAACGCUGGCGGUAGGCCUAACACAUGCAAGUCGAACGGCAGCUCCGUAAGAGCUUGCUCUUACGGGUGGCGCGUGGCGGACGGGUGAGGUAUACAUCGGAAUCUACUUUUUAGUGGGGGCUAAUGUCGGGAAACUUACGCUAAUACCGCAUACGACCUACGGGUGAAAGCAGGGGAUCUUCGAACCUUGCGCGAUUGAAUGAGCCGAUGUCGGAUUCGCUAGUUGGCGGGGUUAAGGCCCACCAAGGCGACGAUCCGUAGCUGGUCUGAGAGGAGGAUUAGCCAGACGGGAAGUGAGAAUCGGUACAGACUCCGAGGGGAGGAAGCAGUGGGGAAUAUUGGACAAGGGGGGAGAGGCUGAUCCAGCCAUACCGGGGAGGGGAAGAAGCACUUCGGGUGGGAAAGCCACUUUGGUGGGAAAGAAAAGCAGCAGUUUAAUAGCCCGCUGUUCUGACGGUACCCAAAGAAGAAGCACCGGCUAACUUCGUG
rnacentral:rRNA from 1 species